UAUCAAUAUCGUCAUCGUGUGCAAGUGCGUUAGACUAGCCAGAGACGUGCAACCAAGAUGUCAAGCAAGUUGUUGGUUGGCGCGAGAUUCCACGUAUUUAGACAAGUUGCGAUUUCCCCAAUCUGAUCGACUAACCACCACUUGUUCACAGACACGCAAUCUCGCUGCAAUCGGAACCUGCCGACAAACGUGCAAUCUCCUUGCAACCAACAACUUACUUGACAACUUCUUGCUUGCACGUACGUGGCUAGCCCGCUCAACACGUUUGCCGCUUGCCGCAACCCAGGGAGAACCAAAGGCUGAGCUUCCUUAAAGAUCCAUUUAGGAUUAAUUGCAAUUGAUCUUAGGAAUCUGUGAGCGAAUGAUGUUUCAAAAGUGUUUAUAGAAAGGGCAAUGAACGGGGGCAGUGUGUCGACGAGAUUCGAAGCAAGCAGAUAUGGAGCUUUGGUUUUUGAAAUGACAACGAUCAAAUGGCUCAAAAUUGCAAGUUUUCCCUUUCUCCAUUGCUCGUUCUCCCUGGUUGUUUUCCGAGUAUAAUUUUCAUUGAAGACACGGAACACGAAACGAUAUAUACCCAAGGUGUCUUCUGGUACAUUCAGGUUCAUUACUUGAAAAUCGGGUAUCCGGCAAGGAAUCAGCUGAUGAAACGACAUCCAGGAUACAUAAUAAAGUUUUCGUCAAACGUAAUAAAUCAUUAAAACUGUAGAAUCCGAAGUAGAUCAGGU